rnacentral:rRNA from 1 species
GACGAACGCUGGCGGCGUGCUUAACACAUGCAAGUCGAACGCUGAAGCUCAGCUUUUGUUGGGUGGAUGAGUGGCGAACGGGUGAGUAACACGUGAGUAACCUGCCCCCUUCUUUGGGAUAACGCCCGGAAACGGGUGCUAAUACUGGAUAUUCACUGGUCUUCGCAUGGGGGUUGGUGGAAAGGGUUUUUCUGGUGGGGGAUGGGCUCGCGGCCUAUCAGCUUGUUGGUGGGGUGAUGGCCUACCACGGCUUUGACGGGUAGCCGGCCUGAGAGGGUGACCGGGCACAUUGGGACGGAGAUACGGCCCAGACUGCUACGGGAGGCAGCAGUGGGGAAAAGUGCAAAAGGGGGGCAAGUCUGAGGCAGCGACGCCGCGUGAGGGAUGGGGGCCUACGGGUUGGGAACCUCUUUCGCUCAUGGGCAAGCCGCAACAAUGGUUGUGGUGAGGGUAGUGGGUAAAGAAGCGCCGGCUAACUACGUG